rnacentral:rRNA from 1 species
UGAAACGAUAAAUACUCCCUGUUUGCAAUGUGCAAUAAGCGGCCAAGCAAAAGCGUGAAGUAUUCCACCGGGGGAGUACGCCGGCAACGGUGAAACUCAAAGGAAUUGACGGGGGCCCGCACAAGCGGAGGAACAUGUGGUUUAAUUCGAUGAUACGCGAGGAACCUUACCCGGGCUGGAAUUGGAGUCGAAUAGAGUGGAGAGAUCAGAGCCGGAAGGCGAGUGUGAAGUGCUACGUGGUUGUCGUCAGCUCGUGCCGUGAGGUGUCGGCUUAAGUGCCAUAACGAGCGCAGCCCUUAUGUCCAGUGACCAGCGGGUCAUGCGGGGGACUCUGGGAAGACGGCCGGCGUAAGAUGUGAGGAAGGUGGGGAUGACGUCAAAUCAGCACGGCCCUUACGUCCGGGGCUACACACGUGUUACAAUGGGUGGUACAGAAGGCAGCUACACGGCAACGUGAUGCUAAUCCCAAAAACCACUCUCAGUUCGGAU